AGAGUUUGAUCAUGGCUCAGGAUGAACGCUAGCGGCAGGCCUAAUACAUGCAAGUCGAACGGUAAGUCCCGCCUCGGCGGGAACACGAGUGGCGCACGGGUGCGUAACGCGUAUGCAACCUACCUUUAACUGGGGAAUAGCCCCGAGAAAUCGGGAUUAAUACCCCAUAAUAAUAAAAUAUGACAUCAUUUUUUAUUUAAAGUUCCGGCGGUUAAAGAUGGGCAUGCGUGACAUUAGUUAGUUGGUGAGGUAACGGCUCACCAAGGCAACGAUGUCUAGGGGUUCUGAGAGGAUUAACCCCCACACUGGUACUGAGACACGGACCAGACUCCUACGGGAGGCAGC
rnacentral:rRNA from 1 species